rnacentral:lncRNA from 1 species
UAAAUGUUUUGAAGAGAUGCCUUAAAACCGCCCAUAGAAGCAAUGCCAUUUUUAAGUAAACUUAACCUCAUCAUUUUCUACUUUGUGGUGAUGCUGUAAAUUGUGUGGAUUCAGACCUCAUCAUUUUCUACUUUGUGGUGAUGCUGUAAAUUGUGUGGAUUCAGCAGUAUCUUCAAGUAGGUACAGAGUUCCCUUGCGCUUCCACAAAACUACCCUCUUGUAUGCUGAUUUACUUGACUACGUAAGGCACCUUAUUUCUGUUAUCAAUCACAAUUCUGUCACGCG